GAGAAAACCCCCUUGUUUUUUUUAAAAAGGGUUUCUGUUUUCUCUUUGGGAGGGCCCCGCGCGUUUUUAGUUAUUUGGGGAGGUAAAGGUUCCCCCAAGGCCAUGAUACGUAGCCGCCCCUGAGGGGUAUUGGCCACCUUGGGACUGAGACCCGGCCCCAGAUUCCUACGGGAGGCAGCAGUAGGGAAUUCUUCCACAAUGGACGCAAGUCUGAUGGAGCAACGCCGCGUGAGUGAAGAAGGGUUUCGGCUCGUAAAGCUCUGUUGUUAAAGAAGAACGUGGGUAAGAGUAACUGUUUACCCAGUGACGGUAUUUAACCAGAAAGCCACGGCUAACUACGUGCCAGCAGCCGCGGUAAUACGUAGGUGGCAAGCGUUAUCCGGAUUUAUUGGGCGUAAAGCGAGCGCAGGCGGUCUUUUAAGUCUAAUGUGAAAGCCUUCGGCUCAACCGAAGAAGUGCAUUGGAAACUGGGAGACUUGAGUGCAGAAGAGGACAGUGGAACUCCAUGUGUAGCGGUGAAAUGCGUAGAUAUAUGGAAGAACACCAGUGGCGAAGGCGGCUGUCUGGUCUGCAACUGACGCUGAGGCUCGAAAGCAUGGGUAGCGAACAGGAUUAGAUACCCUGGUAGUCCAUGCCGUAAACGAUGAUUACUAAGUGUUGGAGGGUUUCCGCCCUUCAGUGCUGCAGCUAACGCAUUAAGUAAUCCGCCUGGGGAGUACGACCGCAAGGUUGAAACUCAAAAGAAUUGACGGGGGCCCGCACAAGCGGUGGAGCAUGUGGUUUAAUUCGAAGCUACGCGAAGAACCUUACCAGGUCUUGACAUCUUCUGACAGUCUAAGAGAUUAGAGGUUCCCUUCGGGGACAGAAUGACAGGUGGUGCAUGGUUGUCGUCAGCUCGUGUCGUGAGAUGUUGGGUUAAGUCCCGCAACGAGCGCAACCCUUAUUACUAGUUGCCAGCAUUAAGUUGGGCACUCUAGUGAGACUGCCGGUGACAAACCGGAGGAAGGUGGGGACGACGUCAAAUCAUCAUGCCCCUUAUGACCUGGGCUACACACGUGCUACAAUGGAUGGUACAACGAGUCGCGAGACCGCGAGGUUAAGCUAAUCUCUUAAAACCAUUCUCAGUUCGGACUGUAGGCUGCAACUCGCCUACACGAAGUCGGAAUCGCUAGUAAUCGCGGAUCAGCAUGCCGCGGUGAAUACGUUCCCGGGCCUUGUACACACCGCCCGUCACACCAUGAGAGUUUGUAACACCCAAAGCCGGUGGGGUAACCUUUUAGGAGCUAGCCGUCUAAGUGACAG
rnacentral:rRNA from 1 species